rnacentral:rRNA from 1 species
AACGAACGCUGGCGGCAGGCCUAACACAUGCAAGUCGAACGCCGUAGCAAUACGGAGUGGCAGACGGGUGAGUAACACGUGGGAACGUACCCUUCGGUUCGGAAUAACUCAGGGAAACUUGAGCUAAAACCGGAUACGUCCGAGAGGAGAAAGAUUUAUCGCCGAGGGAUCGGCCCGCGUCUGAUUAGCUUGUUGGUGAGGUAACGGCUCACCAAGGCGACGAUCAGUAGCUGGUCNGAGA